rnacentral:rRNA from 1 species
CUGCCAGUAGUCAUAUGCUUGUUUCAAGGACUAAGCCAUGCAAGUGCCAGAGUAACUGGAUUAAUAGGAGGUCUGCGUACGGCUCAUUAAAAGGUUUAUUAUCUACCCAGCGAAGGAGGUGGAAACACCGCCCAAUGGAUAACUCCGGUAACUCCGGAGCUAAUACACGUACGAAGAAGUCAACCCUGUCAAGCCUCAUGAGGGGCAACCCGAGUGAGGUGGGGUGGGCUGCGAUUGGCCGAAACAAAAACCGGCGCUCGAUGAGAGCAGGGAAACAGCUGAGGCAGGCCAAUUAUGCGAAGGCGCACACCUUGAGUGGCGCGAUGCUGGACGAAUUUACCACCUAUCAGGUAGAUGGUAGUGUAGUGGACUACCAUGCCUUUUACGGGUAACGGAGAAUUGGGGUUCGAUUCCGGAGAGGGUGCCUGAGAGACGGCAACCAUCGCUAUGGCGAGCAGCAGGCGCGCAAAUUGCCCAAUGCCAACACGGUGAGGCAGCGACGAAAAAUAGCAUCUUCGUCGGACUUAUGUUCGCGAGGUUUGCAAUGGAUUGUAUCCAGAGCCACUGAUGAGUAUCAAUUGGAGGACAAGUCUGGUGCCAGCACCCGCGGUAAUUCCAGCUCCAAGAGCGUAUAUUAACGUUGUUGCGGUUAAAAAGCUCGUAGUUGGAUUCAGGGGCUCCGGUUGUGGAAGGGAGCGGCGUCGGCUUACGGUCGACGUUCGGUCCCACCACAUUUGCUGGGGUCCUUAUCUUUGUGGGAACGAAUGCCGGUGCCUUGGGCUCUUCAUUGAGUCUGGGGCACAACCUCGGAGUGAGUACGCUCCACAAGGCACGCCCACGGGUGUUACUGUGAGUAACGCAGAGUGUUCAAAGCAGCCGACUCGCUCGGCGGAAUGUUAAAGCAUGGAAUAACAAGGGAUCGACCACCACGGCCGCUUUUUGUUGGUUUUCAAGUCGUAGUGAGGCAAUUUCGGGGCUAACGAAACCGGAGGCUCUCACGGGCCGCAUGGCGUAGUUAGUUUCCAAUUCGGGAUCAAUAGGAGCGCGGGGAGCAAUCAGUACUUCCGGGUGAGUGGUGAAAUACUUAGACCCCGGGAAGACUAACAACAGCGAAAGCCGUUUGCUAUCGCGCUUUCGUUAAUCAAGAACGAGAGAAAGGGGAUCGAAGAUGAUCAGAUACCGUCGUAGUCCUUUCCGUAAAUUAUGCAGACUUGGGAUCGGUCAUUGUUCCUUUGUGACUUGAUCGGCACCUCACUUCCUUGUCGAGAAAUCAAAGUCUUUGUGUUCCGGGGGGAGUAUAUUCGCAAGGCUGAAACUUAAAGGAAUUGACGGAGAACCACCACCAGGCGUGGAGUGUGCGGC